CGGCAACAGCUCAAAUUUGAAAUCUGGCGUAUGCUCGAAUUGUAAUUUGUAGAGGAUGUUUCGAAUGCGGUCCAGUUUAAGUUCCUUGGAACAGGACGUCAUAGAGGGUGAGAAUCCCGUAUGUGACUGGGUGCCAAUUUCAUGUGAAACUCCUUCGAC
rnacentral:rRNA from 1 species